rnacentral:lncRNA from 13 species
UUGACAGAGUUCCAUCCUCAGCCGAUGAGGCUAUAUUUACUCCAGUGCAAGCAAACGAGACGGAGGAUGAAGAAGAAAGAGAGGAAAGAGCGACGCAGGAGGAGGAAGAGGAGGAAACCGAAGAAGAAGCAUUAAGAGAAGAUGAGGAGGGGGAUACAGACGAAGAUGAGGAAGAGGAGGAAGAGGAGGCAGAAGAUCAAGAAGAAGAGGAAAAUGAAAUAGAAGAAGAAGAAGAAGAA